GGGGGAUAGAACAUCAGCUUGCCAGAGGCUUCCUUCCUGAGGUCAAUUAGGAAGGUGGAGUGAACCAUGGGGACGGGGAAGCAGCCCAACCUCUUCCAUUCUCUAAUCUGAAGUUCGAAGGGCUGCCUGCCGCAGUUUCAUCACAUGGGCAAACCGGGAGCCUGGCCAAUGCUUUGGUCCAAUUUCAUCAGGGCUUCGUGGCAGAUGAACAAAUUCUCCAGAUGUGGUUGGAGGUCCAUGCACAGCGGUCUUUGAUCUCCUGCCCUGUUCCAGGGGAAGAGCAGCGCUGACCACACCAGCCCACUGAGGAAGACUUGCCAUCCCCCCUCAAGACAAACUGCUCUGUCCCUCCACGCCCCUGGCACAGGCGAAUCAACAGAAACCCAGGGAGACACUCUAACUGCUGCCUUUUUCAUCCCUCUGACCAAAAAUGCGUUUCCGUUCGAAUCCACAAUCACGAAAGCACACGGGUGCUGGUCUACACAGAGGGCU